AUCGACUUUGUUUCUUUUUCUUUACAUCAAUCAAUAGCUUUAAUCAUUUAUUUCAAUGAAUUGAUCUAAAUUUAAAUACAAAACAAGUAUUUUACAUAAGGGUUGAACUACUCGUAAAUAAACAUUUUUAAUUGUUAUCCUUUUUAUUUAACUUUCCUGAUCUUAACAAUGAGGCUGAUCAUUCUGCGGCAUUAUGCAGUGUUAC